AGGCUUAUAACUCAGUGGGUAGAGUGCUUGUCUUACAAACAAGCUGUCAUCGGUUCGAGUCCGAUUAAGCCUAC
rnacentral:tRNA from 1 species